rnacentral:rRNA from 1 species
GUGUCAGCCGCCGCGGUAAUACGUAGGUGGCAAGCGUUGUCCGGAUUUACUGGGCGUAAAGAGCGCGCAGGCGGUCGGAUUAGUCGCGUGUGAAAGCCCCCGGCUCAACUGGGGAGGGUCACGCGAUACUGUUCGACUCGAAGGCAGGAGAGGGAAGUGGAAUUCCCGGUGUAGUGGUGAAAUGCGUAGAUAUCGGGAGGAACACCAGUGGCGAAGGCGACUUCCUGGCCUGUUCUUGACGCUGAGGCGCGAAAGCUAGGGUAGCAAACGGGAUUAGAUACCCCUGUAGUCC